ensembl:lncRNA
GUCUGAGAGGUUGUUCUGUCUAGAGUCCAGAGCCUGAGAGGUUGUUCUGUCUAGAGUCCAGAGCCUGAGAGGUUGUUCUGUCUAGAGUCCAGAGCCUGAGAGGUUGUUCUGUCUAGAGUCCAGAGCCUGAGAGGUUGUUCUGUCUAGAGUCCAGAGCCUGAGAGGGUGUUCUGUCUAGAGUCCAGAGCCUGAGAGGUUGUUCUGUCUAGAGUCCAGAGCCUGAGAGGUUGUUCUGUCUAGAGUCCAGAGCCUGAGAGGGUGUUCUGUCUAGGGUCUGAGAGGUUAUUCUGUCUAGGGUCUGAGAGGUUGUUCUGUCUAGAGUCCAGAGCCUGAGAGGUUGUUCUGUCUAGAGUCCAGAGCCUGAGAGGGUGUUCUGUCUAGGGUCUGAGAGGUUAUUCUGUCUAGGGUCUGAGAGGUUGUUCUGUCUAGGCUCCAGAGCCUGAGAGGUUGUUCUGUCCAGAACCUGAGGGGUUGUUCUGUCUAGGGUCUGAGAGGUUGUUCUGUCUAGGUUCUGAGAGGUUGUUCUGUCCAGAACCUGAGAGGUUGUUCUGUCUAGGUUCUGAGAGGUUGUUCUGUCUAGGGUCUGAGAGGUUGUUCUGUCUAGAGUCCAGAGCCUGAGAGGUUGUUCUGUCUAGAGUCUGAGAGGUUGUUCUGUC